rnacentral:rRNA from 1 species
UACGUAGGGGGCAAGCGUUUGUCCGGAAUCAUUGGGCGUAAAGCGCGUGUAGGCGGCUCGAUAAGUCUGCUGUGAAAGUCCAGGGCUCAACCCUGGAAUGCCGGUGGAAACUGUCGGGCUAGAGUCCGGAAGAGGCGAGUGGAAUUCCUGGUGUAGCGGUGAAAUGCGCAGAUAUCAGGAGGAACACCAAUGGCGAAGGCAGCUCGCUGGGACGGUACUGACGCUGAGACGCGAAAGCGUGGGGGAGCAAACAGG